GCAGCGGAGCGUGUGGUUAAUUCGAUGCAACGCGAAGAACCUUACCAAGACUUGACAUGUUAAAAGUAGAAACUCGAAAGAGGGACGACCUGUAUCCAGUCAGGAGUUUUCACAGGUGCUGCAUGGUUGUCGUCAGCUCGUGCCGUGAGGUGUUAGGUUAAGUCCUGCAACGAGCGCAACCCUCGUCGCUAGUUAAUUUCUCUAGCGAUACUGCCCGUAAAACGUGGAGGAAGGUGGGGAUGACGUCAAAUCAGCAUGGCCUUUAUGUCUUGGGCUACACACACGCUACAAUGGGUGGUACAGAGAGCAGCGAGGCAGCGAUGUGGAGCGAAUCUCAAAAAGCCAUUCUCAGUUCGGAUUGGAGUCUGCAACUCGACUCCAUGAAGUCGGAAUCGCUAGUAAUCGCGAAUCAGCAUGUCGCGGUGAACUGCGUUCCCGGGCCUU
rnacentral:rRNA from 1 species